rnacentral:rRNA from 1 species
CACGUAGGGCGCAAGCGUUGUCCGGAAUUAUUGGGCGUAAAGAGCUCGUAGGCGGUCUGUUACGUCUGCUGUGAAAACCCUGGGCUUAACCCUGGGCUUGCAGUGGAUACGGGCAGACUAGAGGCAGGUAGGGGAGAAUGGAAUUCCCGGUGUAGCGGUGAAAUGCGCAGAUAUCGGGAGGAACACCGGUGGCGAAGGCGGUUCUCUGGGUCUGACCUGACGCUGAGGAGCGAAAGCGUGGGGAGCGAACAGG